AGACCCGAAACCCGGUGAUCUAGCCAUGGGCAGGUUGAAGGUUGGGUAACACUAACUGGAGGACCGAACCGACUAAUGUUGAAAAAUUAGCGGAUGACCUGUGGCUGGGGGUGAAAGGCCAAUCAAACCGGGAGAUAGCUGGUUCUCCCCGAAAGCUAUUUAGGUAGCGCCUCGUGAAUUCAUCUCCGGGGGUAGAGCACUGUUUCGGCUAGGGGGCCAUCCCGGCUUACCAACCCGAUGCAAACUGCGAAUACCGGAGAAUGUUAUCACGGGAGACACACGGCGGGUGCUAACGUCCGUCGUGAAGAGGGAAACAACCCAGACCGCCAGCUAAGGUCCCAAAGUCAUGGUUAAGUGGGAAACGAUGUGGGAAGGCCCAGACAGCCAGGAUGUUGGCUUAGAAGCAGCCAUCAUUUAAAGAAAGCGUAAUAGCUCACUGGUCGAGUCGGCCUGCGCGGAAGAUGUAACGGGGCUAAACCAUGCACCGAAGCUGCGGCAGCGAACGUAUCACUUAAAGCGAUUCAGCGGGUUACGAUUGACGGAGCGAAGCGACGUCAAAGCGUAUACAAAGUCGAGUCGGUUUAAGGAUACGUUCGUUGGGUAGGGGAGCGUUCUGUAAGCCUGUGAAGGUGGCCUGUGAGGGUUGCUGGAGGUAUCAGAAGUGCGAAU
rnacentral:rRNA from 1 species